GUCCCUCACACGGCUCGGAAGAAGGUGAGCCUAUCUCCAGCUUCAAGGAGAGACCUUCAUUCCACAACCCCAAUCCUUUCCCAUGAAUACAGUAAAUAGUGAAGUAAAGGACACGUGACUCAGUUUUGGCCAAUGAGAAGUGAGCAGUUUGCUGGCUGUCACCGGGAACAUUAUCUUUGCUCCUCAGAGUCAGCCUGAACAUUUCGUUUCUGUGUCUGGAAGGGGACCUUGGAACUGCCGCUCUGAUCUUGCUACUAACCCGGUGAUAAAAUCCGUCGAGAUGGCAGAAUGCAGCGAUGGAAAGAACCUGUGUCCUGGGCGACACUGCUGAGCUUCUGCGCCUGCUGAGUGAGCCCGACCCGUGGGCCUCCCGUUCCUGAAGGACUGAUGUCCUGAACUGCUUGGCGUUUUCUGUUAUUGGCAGCCCAAAGCAUCCUAAAUGCUGUGGAGGUUCGGAAAGCAAUGGCCGGUCACCGUCCCAGCAGCAGAUGGAGGUUUCACGUUCUCACUGAAACCAAGCGUGGGUCCUCCGCGGGGCAGACACUGAGGUCCUGGCUAUCUCCCGGCUUUCCUGACUCUCUGAGGUCACCCCCUCCGCCAUCUCUGCUGAGAUGCCUGCCCUGCACCUUUCUCAGCCCAGUGAGAAGUCCCACCUUUGGGAAGAAUAUGGAUCAGUAGUACCCAGAUCUACACCUGGAGGACCUGCCUUGUAGCUGUUGUCCCGUUUCCAGCUAGCUGUGUGACAGCAGCGUGGGGACCGGAGAGAAGGAGAGCUCAUUCAUUCGUCCAUCCCUUCAUCCAUUCGUCGUGGUAGACAGCUUUCAACGCUGCACACCCUCCGUGUCUUCCAUCGGGAGCUGGGUUUAGUUUGCCCUCCACUGGAUGUUGGGGCAGCCUGUGACUCAGUUUGACAAGUGGGAUGGGAUGGAAGUGACAGCAUCCCUGUCCCAGGCCCAGCCUUCAGGAGCCUGCGCCAUGUGGUGAAGGAGCUCAGGCCCACGUAGGGGAUGACUCGAGGCCACUCGGAGAGGGAGAGGCCCUGUGCAGGCGCCAGAUGCACGAGCAAAGGCUUCUGGGACCUUCCUGCCCAGCCCAUCCACACGUGCAGGCGAGUGAGUGACCCCAGCCAGUGCCACAUGGCACAGAAAAAUCACCCAGCUUUGAACACGACCCCAAGUUCAGGGCCCGCGGAAUCACGGCGUGUUAAUUGCUAUGGUUUUAAGCCACUCUGUUUUGGGGUCAUUUGUCAUCCAGCCAUAGGUAACUGGACAUUUGUGACGUGUGUUUGGCAGCUAUGUUUGAGGGAGGUUCCCUCUUAUCCCAGUUUUCUAAAAUAAAGUUUGUGAUAAUACAUAGGAGUUGAAUUUGUUCGAUGACUUUUUCUGCCUUGAUUGAAAGAAUCAUGUGAUUGCUGUUCUCCUUCAGUC